rnacentral:lncRNA from 1 species
CCCGACGUUUGCUAUGUUUACUUACGAUAAACAAAUGAAACCAGCAAAAAAUACAACUGGUUACUUUACUAUUGUUUAUGCAAAGCGGCCAUGUUUCGUUGUACAGAGUGAGACAGAUCGUUCAAGUUGCCUUGCCUGGGUGAGAAAACGGGCCAUAGAUUUUCUUCCCAAAGACUGCGUAACAGUAUUUAACACAACAUGCGUAAAUUCUACGUCGGUGGUGCAAAAAUAUGACCCAAAUGUUUGUCGAAGUGUUUAAAUGGGUCACAGCAAAAAAAGCGGCAGAAUUGUUGAUUAUUUGUACAGCCUUCUGGCUCUAAUAAAAUGGGGCUGAUGGA